GACGAACGCUGGCGGCGUGCCUAAUACAUGCAAGUCGAACGAGUGGCGGACGGGUGAGUAACACGUGGGAACCUACCCAUCAGAGGGGGAUAACUACUGGAAACGGUAGCUAAUACCGCAUACCAUCAGAUGAACCCAUAUGGGAUUAGCUUGUAGGUGAGGUAACGGCUCCCCUAGGCGACGAUCCCUAGCUGGUCUGAGAGGAUGAUCAGCACCACUGGGUCUGAGACACGGCCCAGAUUCCUACGGGAGGCAGCAGUGGGGAAUAGUGCCCAUUGGACGCAAGCCUGGUGCAGCCAUGCCGCGUGUAUGAAGAAGGCCUUCGGGUUGUAAAGUACUUUCAGUCGGGAGGCGUUACCGACAUAAGAAGCACCGGCUAACUCCGUGCCAGCAGCCGCGGUAAUAC
rnacentral:rRNA from 1 species